CCUACGGGGGGCUGCAGUAGGGAAUCUUCCGCAAUGGACGAAAGUCUGACGGAGCAACGCCGCGUGAGCGAAGCAGGUCUUCGGAUCGUAAAGCUCUGUUGUUAGGGAAGAACAAGUACGGGAGGAAAUGACCGUACCUUUACGGUACCUAACGAGGAAGCCACGGCUAACAACGUGCCAGAAGCAGGGGUAAUACGUAGGUGGCAAGCGUUGUUCGGAAUUAUUGGGCGUAAAGCGCGCGCAGGCGGUCUUUUAGGUCUGAUGUGAAAUCCAUCGGGUCAACCGAGGUCAACUCUUGAAACUGGAGGGCUUGAUUGCAGGAGAGGAGAGCGGAAUUCCGAGUGUAGCGGUGAAAUGCGGAGUUAUUAGGAGGAACACCAGUGGCGAAGGAGGCUCUCUGGACUGCAUCUGACGCUGGGGCACGAAAGCGUGGGGAGCGAACAGGAUUAGAUACCCGGGGAGGC
rnacentral:rRNA from 1 species